CAACAGACUCUUCCUGAAGAGCAGAAGGGGUCAGGAAGGAGCCGCAGAGUCGUGGAGCAGGGAGGCGCCGCGUGACUCAGUCCGGGUCUGCAGCACACCUCCUUGCUGAGCAAGGAGCCGCUCUGAGCGCAAUGGCCCAGAAGGGCCCCCGAGUCCAGCCUGGUGGCUCGAGUGGGCACGUGGGAUCUUCGCCCCCGACCGUGGAUUCAACCCACUCCCCCUGCACCGAAAGGCAUUAUUCCUGCUCAUGGUCCCAGGGAAGAGUUAAAGAGGCUUAGACUGUGUGUGUGGGCCUAGCCGCUUCAGUCGUGUCUGACUCUUGGAACCUGUGGACCGUAGCCCACCAGGCUCCUCUGUCC
ensembl:lncRNA